rnacentral:rRNA from 1 species
ACUGCUCAGUAACACGUGGACAACCUGCCCUUAGGUUGGGUAUAAACCCGGGAAACUGGGUAUAAUACCCGAUAGGUCUCGAUUGCUGGAAUGCAUCGAGAUUUAAAGCUCCGGCGCCUAAGGAUGGGUCUGCGGCCUAUCAGGUAGUAGUGGGUGUAGCGUACCUACUAGCCUACGGCGGGUACGGGUUGUGAGAGCAAGAGCCCGGAGAUGGAUUCUGAGACACGAAUCCAGGCCCUACGGGGUGCAGCAGGCGCGAAAACUUUACAAUGCUGGCAACAGCGAUAAGGGAACCUCGAGUGCCAGGUUACAAAUCUGGCUGUCGAGAUGCCUAAAAAGCAUUUCAUAGCAAGGGCCGGGCAAGACCGGUGCCAGCCGCCGCGGUAACACCGGCGGCUCGAGUGGUAACCGUUAUUAUUGGGUCUAAAGGGUCUGUAGCCGGCCGGGUAAGUCUCUUGAGAAAUCUGGCAGCUUAACUGUCAGGCUUUCAGGAGAUACUGUCUGGCUCGAGGCCGGGAGAGGUGAGAGGUACUUCAGGGGUAGGGGUGAAAUCUUGUAAUCCUUGAAGGACCACCAGUGGCGAAGGCGUCUCACCAGAACGGACCUGACGGCAAGGGACGAAAGCUAGGGGCACGAACCGGAUUAGAUACCCGGGUAGUCCUAGCCGUAAACGAUACUCGCUAGGUGUCGGCCACGGUGCGACCGUUGUCGGUGCCGUAGGGAAGCCGUGAAGCGAGCCACCUGGGGAAGUACGGCCGCAAGGCUGAAACUUAAAGGAAUUGGCGGGGGAGCAC